rnacentral:rRNA from 1 species
CUGUCCGAAUUGUAAUCUAGAGAAGUGCUAUCCGCGCUGGACCGUGUAUAAGUCUUCUGGAAUGAAGCAUCAUAGAGGGUGAGAAUCCCGUCUUUGACAUGGACUACCAGGGCUUUGUGAUGUGCUCUCAAAGAGUCGAGUUGUUUGGGAAUGCAGCUCUAAAUGGGUGGUAAAUUCCAUCUAAAGCUAAAUAUUGGCGAGAGACCGAUAGUGAACAAGUACCGUGAGGGAAAGAUGAAAAGAACUUUGGAAAGAGAGUUAAACAGUACGUGAAAUUGUUGAAAGGGAAACGCUUGAAGUCAGUCGCAUUGACUAGUGAUCAACCUUGCUUUUGCUUGGUGUAUUUUCUGGUUGAUGGGUCAGCAUCAAUUUUGACCAGUAGAAAAGGAUUGAAAGAAUGUGGCAUUUUCGAAUGUGUUAUAGCUUUCAGUUAUAUAUAUUGGUUGGGAUUGAGGAACUCAGCAUGCCGCAAGGCCAGAUAUUGAAUCAUGUUCAUGCUUAGGAUGCUGGCAUAAUGGCUUUAAUCGACCCGUCUUGAAACACGGACCAAGGAGUCUAACAUACCUGCAAGUGUUUGAGUAGAAAACUCGAGCGCAUAAUGAAAGUAAAAGUUGGGAUCUCUGUCAUGGAGAGCACCGAUGCCUGGACCAGACCUAUUGUGACGGAUCCACGGUAGAGCAUGUAUGUUGGGACCCGAAAGAUGGUGAACUAUGCCUGAAUAGGGUGAAGCCAGAGAA